GGAUCUAACAAUGCAGAGCCGGU
rnacentral:siRNA from 1 species